rnacentral:rRNA from 1 species
UACGGAGGGUGCAAGCGUUAUCCGGAUUCACUGGGUUUAAAGGGUGCGUAGGUGGGCAGGUAAGUCAGUGGUGAAAUCUCCGAGCUUAACUCGGAAACUGCCGUUGAUACUAUUUGUCUUGAAUAUUGUGGAGGUAAGCGGAAUAUGUCAUGUAGCGGUGAAAUGCUUAGAUAUGACAUGGAACACCAAUUGCGAAGGCAGCUUACUACACAACGAUUGACGCUGAGGCACGAAAGCGUGGGGAUCAAACAGG